rnacentral:rRNA from 1 species
CCUACGGGUGGCUGCAGUGAGGAAUAUUGGUCAAUGGACGAGAGUCUGAACCAGCCAAGUAGCGUGAAGGAUGACUGCCCGAUGGGUUGUAAACUUCUUUUAUAUGGGAAUAAAGUGGUCCACGAGUGGGAGUUUGUAUGUACCAUAUGAAUAAGGAUCGGCUAACUCCGUGCCAGCAGCCGCGGUAAUACGGAGGAUCCGAGCGUUAUCCGGAUUUAUUGGGGUUAAAGGGGGCGUAGGUGGAUUGUUAAGUCAGUUGUGAAAGGUUGCGGCGCAACCGUAAGAGUGCCGUUGAAACUGGCAGUCUUGAGUACAGUAGAGGUGGGCGGAAUUCGUGGUGUAGCGGUGAAAUGCUUAGAUAUCGCGAAGAACUCCGAUUGCGAAGGCAGCUCACUGGCCUGCAACUGACACUGAGGCUCGAAAGUGUGGGUAUCAAACAGGAUUAGAUACCCUAGUAGUC